rnacentral:rRNA from 1 species
AUACGGAGGGUGCGAGAGUUACUCGGAGUCAAUGGGCGUAAAGCGUCCGUAGGCGGUCGGGUAAGUCGGGUGUGAAAGCCCCGGGCUCAACCUGGGAAGUGCACCCGAUACUGCUCGACUCGAGUGCGGGAGAGGAUGGCGGAAUUCCCGGUGUAGCGGUGAAAUGCGUAGAGAUCGGGAGGAACACCAGUGGCGAAGGCGGCCAUCUGGCCCGCAACUGACGCUGAGGGACGAAAGCGUGGGGAGCAAACAGGAUUAGAAACCCUAGUAGUCC